UACGUAGGUGGCGAGCGUUGUCCGGAUUUACUGGGCGUAAAGGGCGUGCAGGCGGUUUGUUAAGUGCAGGGUGAAAGCUCCCGGCUCAACUGGGAGAGGUCCUUGCAUACUGGCGAACUCGAGGGAGGCAGAGGAAAGUGGAAUUCCCGGUGUAGUGGUGAUAUGCGUAGAUAUCGAGAGGAACACCUGCGGCGAAGGCGGGUUGCUGGGCUGAUACUGACGCUGAGGCGCGAAAGCCAGGGGAGCGAACGGG
rnacentral:rRNA from 1 species